ensembl:lncRNA
GUUGGAAGAAAAAAAAACAUCGAUCCGUCCUGCACAACUAUGCCGACUGACUGUAAGUAUUCAUAUGAGUGUAUUAUGAUUAUAUUAUGACUAUGUCUAUGUGAAUCAGCUGUUUAUAUCUGAACGUAGCAGCGAUUACUUCACAGCGAUUCGCGGCGCCGGAGGCGAGAGCGUGAAACAGCAGCCGGGUCCACGUGGAAGUAUGUUUUUUGUUUUGUUUUUUAUAGCAGCGUGUAAUAUAUAGUUCCAUAACACUCUCUCUAUCAUUAUUAUUAUUAGUUAUGGUAUAUUCAUGUAGAACAAAGAUUAAAUUUGUGUUUUCCCAAUGUGUAACAGGUUUGCCUGAUAUUCGGCUCAACAUUCAAAGACCGAUUCUAGCAGACCAGACUAAUGUGCUGACAAGCGGUAGUUUUGUACCUAUUGAGGCCAAUGUCAUUCAGCGAACCCCCGGACCAACGCCAAGUCGACUGUCCAAGAAGAAUUUGAAAAGAUCGGCGGGGGUAGUGGUGGCUAUACCCUGUUCACCACUGGCCAUAGAACAGCUACAAAUUCCUUAUAAAAAGGCUCGCAAGGAUGCCACACAUAAUGGUUUAGCUCCGGAGAAUUUUACCCAGGUUAUACAGGCAGUCAUAAACCCGCAAAUUGCGCAACAUGGAGCGGCAUGGUCUGAUUCCAAACACCGUGUGAUCGGGGACGUGGAGGUGCAUGUGUCUGAGUCGCCUACAGAGACCGUCACAGUGCAACCGGUUGGGACUAUACAACACGCAGCCCAUGGAGAUCCCCAGUGUGCGCCACCACCAGGGCUGACCGCCGACGAUUGGGCUGGUCUUGACGACAUCUCGUCCUGGACUUCAUCGUUGUUGGAUCAUAUCGACUUCACUCCUGCUCAGUGGAUCGACUCUCCAGCUACAUCCAUAGAGGCUACCAUCAGUGCAGAGCCUGUACAACACCAUCAGCCUGCAGAUCCUGCAUCUGGAUCCCUACACGCCAUUCAAGACCCUAUCAGCGACCCCCCGUGCACCGUGAGUCCCAUCGCUCAUGAGGUAGCGGUGCCGCGGCUACCAGCCGGUCCCGCAAUUGCUGUUGAUGAACACCAUGCAGGGGUGCAAGGUGAUAACUGGCGUAAACAAUUUGCUGAUAAACUAGCCGUGUUAACUGCGUCGGUAGAUGUAAACUCCUUAGCCAUUGCUCGUCAGAGUAAACUGGGGGUGGCGGCUGGUAAACGUGGUGACCGUAUAUAUCAGGAGCUCGAAGAGCAGACGAAGCAGUCCUUCACGGUUCUCAGGGCCGAGAUUGCGCGUGAUCAUAUGACUGCUGAAUCCCCAAACACUGAGACAUAGUGAGAAUUAACGCGCAAGAGGGGUUAAGAGCUGCUAAAACCGCUCGAAAAUUCUGGUUAAUGCAAUCUGCUAGCGAAGCCAACGUCAAUGCCUAUCGGGCAAUGAGUACCGAGAUGUCUGUGAUUAAUGACACACUAGCAAAGCUUACGAUGAAUGCUAUUAUUUGAUUUGUGUUUUUGUUUUUAAUGUUUUUUUCUUUUAUUUCAUGGAGAGGGUAUCUUUUGUUUUAAACUGCAUGUAAUAAAACUUUUUUUUCUUUUAAUACCUGACUACUUAACGUUUUUUUUUUAAAUAUUAUUAUUUAUAUAUAUAUAUAUAUAUAUAUAUAUACAUAUAUUUUUUUUUUUAUUUUUUUUUUUUAUAUCUAUCGGCAUA